rnacentral:lncRNA from 1 species
CUUCAUCUGCAUUCUUCUCUAGCAAGAACCCCCUCUCUAUUUUCUGGUUUUAUUUUUUCGAUUUCCGCUUCUAUAUAUUUUGGUGAUAUAUUUAUGUUGAUUAACAAAGGUAUAUUUUUCAUUUUGGUGAUGUUUUGAUUCAGCGUAUAGGUAUGAUUUUGAGAUAUGGAAGGUGGAUAUGGUGUAAAAAUGGCUUGAAUCAUUAGAUUUUAGAAGGUGGACUUUUGAGUAAAGGUUGGUGGAUAACUGCUUUGGCUUCCAUCACCAUUGUAUCUAACCAUCGCACAAGCACUACGACCACCGCCCAUAUCCCACCACUCAAUCUGUCUCUCUUGAUCUAUGAACCUUAGAUUAUUUGCCACUGAACAUUGUCUUCCUCCCAUGCUCUGACUUUGUGGUCUUUGUCUCUUCCUCUUUCUAUUUUUUUAUCACAGUUACAUAUGCAUUGUAUGCUUCAUAAUAGAUUUGGAUGUUCUAAUGGCUUGCUAAUCUUAUGUUUUUUGACAAUUUAUGUCAGUCUUGAACCCACUUCGACUGGUUUGAAAAAGAAGCCCAAUAAGGUAUUCUUAUAUUUAUGUAUAGCUUUGUUCAAGAACCUGAUAUUUAAGUAAAUGAUUUCUAUUUAUUGAAAUAUUUUUUGUUAGUUUAAUAUUGCAGAUCUAUCAGUAAAAGAUCUCUAUUGACACACAUCUAGAAGUGGGGGAUAAAGUUUCAGGCAUCUGAUAUUGCAAUAAAACAAGAAGGUUAGGUUUGUGAUAGGUAUAUGUUUUUAAAAUAUAUUUUAAAUACACCAUUGUGUCAACCUAAAACCUUUUCAAGAUAAUAUUGCUUUAAUCGAUUUCAGUUAUAAAAGAAGCACAUGUUGGCAAGGUCAAGUAAAUUGAUUUCAUUAUAUGGACCAUGGGGCUAAGCUACCUGUACACAUAAAAAAGUUCCAGUAAGCCUUUAUUUGUUUCAUUGUUGUUAUACGCGUGAUAUAGAUACCGUAGGGGGUGGGGGUCGAAGCUCAUAAGAAAAAAUAGAGAAUAUGAUCAUGUAAUAGAAAUGCAUGAAAGUAUGUGAUCAUUUUAAAAAUAUAUAACCUUUUGACUAGAUUUGAAUGUUAAUUAAAAGUUUAUAUAUUUUUUCGAUUGAUAUUUUGUUGUUGCUCACAUAAAAGAGAAAGUCUUCAUAUUUUUGGGUUAAUAAGUUACCCCAAAAUUCAUCGAUAGCGUCCUCGAACGGAAAAAUAAUUUGAUUCUAUUUUUCAUUUUUUGUUCAUUAUACAAUUUUAAAAAAUUUCGAUACUAUUUUUCUCUUUUCGUUCACAUUUCAUCAGAUCUGAAAAUUGCAGUAACAGGCUUGACAAGGUUUUUUUUUUUUUUUUUUUUUUUUUUUUUUUUUUUUUUUUUUACAAUGCAUAAGAUUUGUAAUCUUUCAAAGAAUGGUUUUUUUUUUCAUGUCUGUUUUCACAUGGCAAGGUUUGAUGCGAAAUGACUUCUAGGGUAUAUAUAUGAUCUACUAAAAAUUGUAUUAUACUUUCAGAUUGGGUAAACUUGAAACUUAUGGUAUUCUACUUUCGUGAAAUGGUUAAAAUAUGUUUUGGGAUGGACAUUUAUAAGUGUUUUACAAAUGGCAGUAUACUUGACAUAUUAUUCUAUUUUUAAAAGGGCUAGCAUAUCCAUGAUGUACUUGAAAUGGCAUUGUACUUUAAAGACUUUUUCAAAACCUUUUUGAAGUCUAUUAUUAGUAAUACCAGGUCUGAUGUAAGGCUCUUCAUAAAGAAUAUGUUUUUAUGAUAAACUUAUACAAGGUGUGGAAUGUUUUAGAAAUGACAUUCUACUUAUACAAGGUCUGUAUUCUUAGGUUUACCUACUCUGAUGCCAGGGGCGGAACACGAUCAAUAUAAAUAGGGGGGCCAAAACAUAGACAUAUCCGUAAUUUUUUUUCUGGAUGAAGUCAUACUCUAAUGAAUGUAAUUUCCUAUAUAAUUAAUAGUUCAUUAUAAAAAAAAAUAGUUGC